rnacentral:rRNA from 1 species
ACGAACGCUGGCGGCGUGCUUAACACAUGCACGUCGAACGGAAAGGCCCUGCUUGCAGGGUACUCGAGUGGCGAACGGGUGAGUAACACGUGGGUGAUCUGCCCUGCACUUCGGGAUAAGCUUGGGAAACUGGGUCUAAUACCGGAUAGGAGCCAUCUUUAGUGUGGUGGUUGGAAAGUUUUUUCGGUGUAGGAUGAGCUCGCGGCCUAUCAGCUUGUUGGUGGGGUAAUGGCCUACCAAGGCGGCGACGGGUAGCCGGCCUGAGAGGGUGUACGGCCACAUUGGGACUGAGCUACGGCCCAGACUCCUACGGGGGGCAGCAGUGGGGAAUAUUGCACAAUGGGCGCAAGCCUGAUGCAGCGACGCCGCGUGGGGGAUGAAGGCCUUCGGGUUGUAAACUCCUUUCGCUAGGGACGAAGCUUUUUUGUGACGGUACCUAGAUAAGAAGCACCGGCUAACUACGUG